GACGAACGCUGGCGGCGUGCCUAAUACAUGCAAGUCGAACGCACUCUCGUUUAGAUUGAAGGAGCUUGCUCCUGAUUGAUAAACAUUUGAGUGAGUGGCGGACGGGUGAGUAACACGUGGGUAACCUGCCCUAAAGUGGGGGAUAACAUUUGGAAACAGAUGCUAAUACCGCAUAAAACCUAACACCGCAUGGUGUAGGGUUGAAAGAUGGUUUCGGCUAUCACUUUAGGAUGGACCCGCGGUGCAUUAGUUAGUCGGUGAGGUAAAGGCUCACCAAGACCGUGAUGCAUAGCCGACCUGAGAGGGUAAUCGGCCACACUGGGACUGAGACACGGCCCAGACUCCUACGGGAGGCAGCAGUAGGGAAUCUUCCACAAUGGACGAAAGUCUGAUGGAGCAACGCCGCGUGAGUGAAGAAGGUUUUCGGAUCGUAAAACUCUGUUGUUGGAGAAGAAUGUAUCUGAUAGUAACUGAUCAGGUAGUGACGGUAUCCGACCAGAAAGCCACGG
rnacentral:rRNA from 1 species